rnacentral:rRNA from 1 species
UUGAACGCUGGCGGCAUGCUUUACACAUGCAAGUCGAACGGCAGCGGGGGCUUCGGCCUGCCGGCGAGUGGCGAACGGGUGAGUAAUGCAUCGGAACGUGCCCGAUCGUGGGGGAUAACGCAGCGAAAGCUGCGCUAAUACCGCAUACGAUCUGAGGAUGAAAGCGGGGGACCGUAAGGCCUCGCGCGAUCGGAGCGGCCGAUGUCAGAUUAGGUAGUUGGUGGGGUAAAGGCUCACCAAGCCGACGAUCUGUAGCUGGUCUGAGAGGACGACCAGCCACACUGGGACUGAGACACGGCCCAGACUCCUACGGGAGGCAGCAGUGGGGAAUUUUGGACAAUGGGCGAAAGCCUGAUCCAGCAAUGCCGCGUGCAGGAAGAAGGCCUUCGGGUUGUAAACUGCUUUUGUACGGAGCGAAAAGGCUCUCUCUAAUACAGGGGGCUCAUGACGGUACCGUAAGAAUAAGCACCGGCUAACUACGU